rnacentral:lncRNA from 1 species
GUAUUUUUAAUGAGUAUUUUAAUGUAGUGUAGUGUAAAGCAAAUUCAUUUUGAACAUAUGUGAGCCUGUACAGUCAGUCAAUUGGAGAGAGGUAAAACAAUAUAAACACUCGUAUGAUGUUCCAGUCGAGUCGGUAGAAAUCUUACUAGGAGAAAUGACAGUGGAUGUGUUAUUAGGACUUGAGGUAGCGUCCUUAAUGUCACCAUUCAAUUUGAG